UUAACUACUUUUAUUCUCAUCUUUGCAUUUGUCUUAGGUUCUUAUGACUAUUAUUGUGGGUUUGUGUGUGAGAGAGUGAGCAUGCAAUGCCACUGCCCUCUGUAGAGGACGACUUCUGGGAGGUGGUUUUAUUUUUCCACCAUGGAACUGAGGGAUCGAACUCACAUUGUCAGGCUUGUACCACAAGCACCUUUGUCUCUUGCCAGGCCCUCUCACUAUCCCUUUGUCGUGCUUUUCUUUUUAGACGUAUCUUUCUGAUUGGAUUUGAUUUUAGCACUUCUGACCUCCAUAUCCAUUAGAUAAGGACUAUGGAGAAGUUUUGCUCAAUGGCUGAAGCUUGCAGAGGGAAGAUAUUUAUCAAAUUAAUUUCCCAGGCUUUGUUCCGGUAAAAAAAAGAGUCAGCUGAUGCUUCAAAGAAUGUUAAACUUCUAAUUCAAAGAUUCGCCCCGCCUCCGUCUCCCCCUGGUUUUUCUUUCCUGCUCAGUUUAUCCACUACAAAAAUUAAAUACAGCAGGGAUAGACUGAUCGUGGCUGAUCUCAUCCAUCGGGGCUGCAGCUGAUAUUCAAGGAAAUACAAGCCUGGAAUUGGGAGCCUCAUCGUGCAGCUUGGUGGUUCCCACAAUGAGGCUGAGGUCACACGGAUCACAAGAAGUCAGUGUGUGUGUGACAUAAAAC
rnacentral:lncRNA from 1 species